rfam:Arabis alpina cultivar Pajares chromosome 8, whole genome shotgun sequence.
ACGACCUUACUUGAACAGGAUCUGUUCUAUAGGCUCGUACCUCUGUAUCCUUGAUUUCUAAGGAGACAGGCCCUUAACCCUGGUUGAUGAACCAUGACCGUGCGGCUAGAGCGUGAUUAACGGCCAAGAUCAAUCCUUAGAUCGGUCCGGUGCUGUAGAGGAUCGUUACUCGGCUCGGUCUUAUCCUUGCCGGUGUGGUCGCACGGCGGUCUGACAGGCU